GAUGAACGCUGGCGGCGUGCCUAACACAUGCAAGUCGAACGGAGUCCAGCCUUUAAGACCUUCGGGUCAAAGAGGGGAAGACUGAGUGGCGGACGGGUGAGUAACACGUGGGCAACCUGGCUCAUAGAGGGGGAUAACAGAGAGAAAUUUCUGCUAAUACCGCAUAAGCACACACUGCCGCAUGGCAGAGGGUGAAAAGAGAAUCGCUAUGAGAUGGACCCGCGUCUGAUUAGCCAGUUGGCAGGGUAAGAGCCUACCAAAGUGACGAUCAGUAGCCGAUCUGAGAGGAUGAACGGCCACAUUGGGACUGAGACACGGCCCAAACUCCUACGGGAGGCAGCAGUGGGGGAUAUUGCACAAUGGGGGGAACCCUGAUGCAGCGACGCCGCGUGAGUGAAGAAGUAUUUCGGUAUGUAAAGCUCUAUCAGCAGGGAAGAUAAUGACAGUACCUGAAGAAGAAGCCCCGGCUAACUACGUG
rnacentral:rRNA from 1 species